UGAGGAAUAUUGGACAAUGGAGGCAACUCUGAUCCAGCCAUGCCGCGUGCAGGAAGACUGCCCUAUGGGUUGUAAACUGCUUUUAUACAGGAAGAAACCUACUUACGUGUAAGUAGCUGACGGUACUGUAAGAAUAAGGAUCGGCUAACUCCGUGCCAGCAGCCGCGGUAAUACGGAGGAUCCAAGCGUUAUCCGGAAUCAUUGGGUUUAAAGGGUCCGUAGGUGGUUUAUUAAGUCAGAGGUGAAAUCCCAUAGCUUAACUAUGGAACUGCCUUUGAUACUGAUAGACUUGAGUUAUUGUGAAGUGGUUAGAAUGUGUAGUGUAGCGGUGAAAUGCAUAGAUAUUACACAGAAUACCGAUUGCGAAGGCAGAUCACUAACAAUAUACUGACACUGAGGGACGAAAGCGUGGGUAGCGAACAGGAUUAGAUACCCUGGUAGUCCACGCCGUAAACGAUGGUCACUAGCUGUUUGACUAACAUUGGUUAGUUGAGUGGCUAAGCGAAAGUGAUAAGUGACCCACCUGGGGAGUACGCUCGCAAGAGUG
rnacentral:rRNA from 1 species